UGUAGGCCGGACCCCAACGCCGAAGCCCUGAGGCUUCUAAUGUGAGGAAAAACACGGAAUGACAAGUGUGGGAAAGAGCAAGCACUAAAUUACUGUCAGAAAAAUAAACGGAGUAGCACAGUGCUGCUCGGUGAUUUACGGGGGCAAUUAGUCACCACCCCACGGCGCUGCUGAGGACAGCACGGCAGCAGACAAGUCAGGCCCAUGAGGAAGAAGAGGCUUUGCACUGCUCUCCAGACAACUUUUCAAACAACAAGAGAGGAUAUUUGAGCACAUUAGGUUUUGUGUCUUCAUUCUGGCCGUGUGAAGAUGUGCCUGCUUCGCCUUCCAUCAUGACUGAAGUUUCCUGAGGCCUCCCCAGCUAUGCUCCCUAUACAGCCUGCAGAACGGUCGGCUGCCUCCAAUCCUGAGGUCAUCACUCAUCAAGAGGGGAUAAUCCCAGGGACAGCAGGAUCUGCUUCGUUACUUGGAUUUAGGAGCCAGAAACCCAUCAGGCAACUAAACAGUAACAAUGACCCGCCAUUAAACACACUGAGAGAAGAGCAUGAUGAAGAGUUUGUACAAGAAGAAGCCAGGAGCACUUGCUGACAAUGCUUACAGAGACGCAGGCUUCUAUGAGCUCUGCCUGUUGAACUGCAGUAAAAAUAGAUCUCCUUCCCCAGAGAGGCUUGGAUGUGGGCACAAUAUCAGUUCAGACGAUGGUCAAUGCAUGUACUUAAUAGAGUGAAAAGACUUUGGACUGUGAAGUCAGAUUACCUGGGUCUGAAUUGUUAUUCUUCUACUUCUUUGUAGUAUGCUUUCACCACAUUAAAAAUUGUCUGAGCCUCAAUUUUUUUAUCUGCAAAAUGGAGCUAAUACCUACACAGGGGCUUUUAAGAGAAUCAAAUGCAACAAUGUUUGAAAAGCAACAUACUCCCCUUUAUGGAAAAAGAGCCUGUAAAGGAACCAAUACAAUGGCUGGGCGUGGUGACUCACACCUGUAAUCCUAGCACUUUGGGAGGCCGAGGUGGGUGGAUUGCCUGAGCUCAGGAGUUCGAGACCAGCCUGGGCAACAUGGUGAAACCCCGACUCUACUAAAAUACAAAAGAUUAUCCUGGCGUGGUGGUGUGCACCUGUUAUCUAAGCUACUUGGGAGGUUGAAGCAGGAGAAUUGCUGGAACCUGGGAGGCAGAGGUUGCAGUGAGCCAAGAUCACACCACUACACUCCAGCCUGAGUGACACAAGACUGUGUCUCAAAAAUAAAUAAAUGAAUAAGUAAAUAAAUACAAAAUAAAU
rnacentral:lncRNA from 1 species